rnacentral:tRNA from 1 species
GGCUGGGUAGUUUAGUUGGUAAGGCGCUCGUCUAGCAUACAAGAGUCCUGGGUUUGAAUCCCAGCCGAGCAC